CCAGAUCUAUCAAUGAGAAGAAUAAAAAGUCUGUUAGCGUUAACUAACCGCUUUAUCCUUGAUAAGGGUGACGUAUGCCGGCUGCGCUCGACAAGUUUGCAAACAGAGCUCAUUGUUCUGUUAUUGUUUACAUAAGAAAGCGAAAACUAUAGUCAAUGGAUUAUGGUGAGAAGAGUUUAUUCGUCUCUGUGAGGAUGUGGCGUGCCCCUGCACAGAGCCUGGACAUAAGCGGUGUUGGCUGUUUGAAGCAUUUAAUUCCUGCGUGGGUGCCACUUGCAGCAACUGACUUGGACAGGACCCUGAUCUGUGAUUGUCGAAACCACCCACCCGCCCCGUCCCCAACAGGAUAUUAGAGAUAACAUUUCAAGGCGUGCAGUUUGUGUCAUGCUACACAAAACAUGAUUUGUAAACAUUCACAUUGUGUGAGCAAUAAUAGCUCGCUGGCUAUUAUAUGCUUCUAUUUUCAUGAGUGUGCGUGUAACUAUGACGAUGCCGGGACAUGCAGCGAUUUUAGCGACUCAAAGAGCAGUGCUUACAUAUUCGAGUAACACUUGAACGAACAUUGAGCAUUCAUACGCGUACACAUACAAGACAAUAUACACAACAACGUAUACACAUGCGGCAAUUAGCAUUAUGGGUACACAUUGACUUGGAUCGAUUAUUGGGCUGUGCGAAUUCAGCCAGGAUCGAAUUAACCACGUUCUCGACCUCCGGGUUAUAAUACUCUCGAGUUAUAAUACAAACUGCAUCGAUAAUGCUCACAUGUAUCAACGUGAAUUCGCAAUUAUCAAGAUUAAACGGUACACUCACCGAACGUGCAUUGGAUUGACGGAAUUGCCGUCGUCGAAUACGGGAUUGUCCAUCGAGUAAGUGGCGGGCGGAGGCGAUUUGGACCUCUUGAUGAUGGUCAGACGUCGCAUCAAGGAGACGCACUUGUCCCUCCUCUCUUUCUGCUGUAAUUCAUGAAUGUGUAUAUAUGAGAGAGAGUGUAUUAUGCACAUUGAAAAAUCACACAAGCGCGUAAAUAUUCUUUGUAUAAAUAUUCAUGUCACAUGUUAAUUUUUUAAAUACCUUGUCCAUAUUCCUGGACGCGGUCGCAGGUGCAUUAGAUGACGCGAUGCCGCUCGCCACGCGCAAAGUGUUGUUCGGGCUCCUGUUCAUAUCGCUCGCGGAAGACGAAGGAACGGAAAUAGCGGCGCUAGCGCAGCCAUUGUUAGCACCAUUGAUACCCGCUGCCGGUUGCAACGUCGGCGGCAUUGUAACUUGUUUGCCAGGAGAAGCUGCGGGAAAAAUAUACAUACGGAUAUUCGACGUCAUCACCGCACUAUGACUGCGCCCAAGCGGAUUGACAGCCGCAUUCUGGUCGUUGUGCCGGGGCGGACUGGUUUCCUGAGUCGGUCCUUGUUCCUGUUGACCGCCGCUGCUGUGCCAAGACGUAG